rnacentral:rRNA from 1 species
GACGAACGCUGGCGGCGUGCCUAAUACAUGCAAGUCGAACGCAGUGGGGACGGGUGAGUAACACGUGGGUAACCUCCCAUCAGAGGGGAUAACACUUGGAAACAGGUGCUAAACCGCUACUGAUGGAUGGACCCGCGGUGCAUUAGCUAGUUGGGGAGGUAACGGCUCACCAAGGCCACGAUGCAUAGCCGGACUGAGGGGGGGAACGGCAACACUGGAACUGAGAAACGGCCCAGACUCCUACGGGAGGCAGCAGUAGGGAAUAUGCGGCAAUGGACGAAAGUCUGACCGAGCAACGCCGCGUGAGUGAAGAAGGUUUUCGGAUCGUAAAACUCUGUUGUUAGAGAAGCGGUAUCUAACCAGAAAGCAACGGCUAACUACGUGCCAGCAGAAGCGGUAAUUA